UACGUAGGGUCCGAGCGUUGUCCGGAAUUACUGGGCGUAAAGCGCAUGUAGGCGGCAGCGCAAGUCGGGCGUGAAAUCCCACGGCUCAACCGUGGAAGUGCACUCGAAACUGCGCAGCUAGAGUCCUGGAGAGGAAGGUGGAAUGCUUGGUGUAGAGGUGAAAUUCGUAGAUAUCGGGAGGAACACCAGCGGCGAAGGCGGCCACCUGGACGGAUACUGACGCUGAGACGCGAAAGCGUGGGGAGCAAACAGG
rnacentral:rRNA from 1 species